rnacentral:rRNA from 1 species
GAUUAAGUUAUUAAGGGCGCACGGUGGAUGCCUUGGCACUAGAAGCCGAUGAAGGACGUUACUAACGACGAUAUGCUUUGGGGAGCUGUAAGUAAGCUUUGAUCCAGAGAUUUCCGAAUGGGGAAACCCAGCAUGAGUUAUGUCAUGUUAUCGAUAUGUGAAUACAUAGCAUAUCAGAAGGCACACCCGGAGAACUGAAACAUCUUAGUACCCGGAGGAAGAGAAAGAAAAUUCGAUUCCCUUAGUAGCGGCGAGCGAAACGGGAAGAGCCCAAACCAACAAGCUUGCUUGUUGGGGUUGUAGGACACUCUAUACGGAGUUACAAAGGACGACAUUAGACGAAUCAUCUGGAAAGAUGAAUCAAAGAAGGUAAU